CCUACGGGGGGCAGCAGUGGGGAAUAUUGGACAAUGGGCGAAAGCUUGAUCCAGCCAUGCCGCGUGUGUGAAGAAGGCCUUCGGGUUGUAAAGCACUUUCAGUGGGGAAGAAAGCCUUGGGGCUAAUACCCUCGAGGAAGGACAUCACCCACAGAAGAAGCACCGGCUAACUCCGUGCCAGCAGCCGCGGUAAUACGGAGGGUGCGAGCGUUAAUCGGAAUUACUGGGCGUAAAGCGCGCGUAGGCGGUCUGAUAAGCCGGUUGUGAAAGCCCCGGGCUCAACCUGGGAACGGCAUCCGGAACUGUCAGGCUAGAGUGCAGGAGAGGAAGGUAGAAUUCCCGGUGUAGCGGUGAAAUGCGUAGAGAUCGGGAGGAAUACCAGUGGCGAAGGCGGCCUUCUGGACUGACACUGACGCUGAGGUGCGAAAGCGUGGGUAGCAAACAGGAUUAGAUACCCGGGUAGUC
rnacentral:rRNA from 1 species